rnacentral:misc_RNA from 1 species
UGGCAUACCUCUUCAGUCUUGUGUCAAUGCUUGUAUUGCAUUGAAUGCACGGUGGGUUUCUUGUGUUGCAUGCCUAAUUAAUGGUAUCGCUUGAUGAAUUGGUAUUCCUUUCGUCUUGUGUCGCCUAUGCGAUGUGAGAUGAACCUUGAAGCAACCUUUGUGAUCCACUCUUUUGAUGCAUACGCAUUGAUUUUGUGGCCCAUUGAGUGUUGCUUGGUCUCAUGGAUAUGGAACCUGGUGUGGGCAUGGAAUCUUAUUGGUUCCUUGUUUGCCCAAGUUUAGCUUUUCUAAAACGAUUGUCUAUCAUGUGUUAACGUGGUAGACAGCUUCGAAUAUGAAUGCUACCUGGUGUCCUGCC